UCCCUGGUGGCUCAGUGGUAAAGAAUCUGCCUGCCAUGCAGAAGGCGCAGGAGACCCGGGUUCGAUCCCUGGGUGGGGAA
rnacentral:tRNA from 1 species